CGCACGGUAAACGAUGGAUGCCCGCUGUGUGCCCCUGGGGUACGUGGCCAAGCGAAAGCGUUAAGCAUCCCACCUGGGGAGUACGCCGGCAACGGUGAAACUCAAAGGAAUUGACGGGGGCCCGCACAAGCGGAGGAACAUGUGGUUUAAUUCGAUGAUACGCGAGGAACCUUACCCGGGCUUGAAUUGCAGAGGAACAUAGUUGAAAGAUUAUGGCCGCAAGGUCUCUGUGAAGGUGC
rnacentral:rRNA from 1 species